rnacentral:rRNA from 1 species
UACGUAGGGGGCGAGCGUUGUCCGGAUUCAUUGGGCGUAAAGCGCUUUAAGGCGGUUCGCUAAGUCGGGUGUGAAACCUCCAGGCUCAACCUGGAGACGCCACUCGAUACUGGCGUGACUAGAGUUCGGUAGGGGACCACGGAAUUCCUGGUGUAGCGGUGAAAUGCGUAGAUAUCAGGAGGAACACCUGCGGUGUAGACGGCUUACUGGACCAUAACUGACGCUGAGGCACGAAAGCGUGGGUAGCAAACGGG